AUUGAACGCUGGCGGCGUGCUUAACACAUGCAAGUCGAGCGGCAGCGCGGGAGCAAUCCUGGCGGCGAGCGGCGAACGGGUGAGUAAUGCUUCGGAAUCUGCCCUUCAGUGGGGAAUAACCAGCCGAAAGGUUGGCUAAUACCGCGUACGCCUCCGAAUCUUCGGGUUCGGAGGGAAAGCCGCACUGUGAGUGCGGCGCUCUUUGAUGAGCUCAUGUCCUAUCAGCUUGUUGGUAGGGUAACGGCCUACCAAGGCUUUGACGGGUAGCUGGUCUGAGAGGACGAUCAGCCACACUGGCACUGCGACACGGGCCAGACUCCUACGGGAGGCAGCAGUAAGGAAUAUUGCGCAAUGGGCGAAAGCCUGACGCAGCGACGCCGCGUGGGGGAUGAAGGUCUUCGGGUUGUAAACUUCUUUUAGUGGGGACAAGGAAGGAUGGUACCCACAGAAUAAGUCACGGCUAACUACGUGCCAGCAGCCGCGGU
rnacentral:rRNA from 1 species